GGACCAAGGAGUCUAGUAAAAUGAGCGAGCCUUUAAGGUACUAUCUUAAACCUAAAGGCGUUGUGAAAGCACUUGAAGGCCAGCCUUGCUCAGGCCUAGGGAAGAUCGCGUCGCGACAUUUGACAGUCGCCUUCCACAGUCUCCGGGGCGUCUCGCUCUCGUUGCGAGAAGAGGCGUGCACCUAGCGCACAUGCUGGGACCC
rnacentral:rRNA from 1 species